rnacentral:rRNA from 1 species
UACGUAGGGUGCAAGCGUUAAUCGGAAUUACUGGGCGUAAAGCGUGCGCAGGCGGUUUUGUAAGUCUGUCGUGAAAGCCCCGGGCUUAACCUGGGAAUUGCGAUGGAGACUGCAAGGCUUGAAUCUGGCAGAGGGGGGUAGAAUUCCACGUAUAGCAGUGAAAUGCGUAGAGAUGUGGAGGAACACCGAUGGCGAAGGCAGCCCCCUGGGUCAAGAUUGACGCUCAUGCACGAAAGCGUGGGGAGCAAACAGG